AUGUUUAACAGGGAGGCACUGUGAUCACUGAGGAAGGAGAGGUAUGGUGAGGCUCAUGCCUUACAGUCUGCAUGUACUAACCUCUAUGCUUCAUGAACUACGAGUAACACAACUGCAUAACUUGUAGUAGUGGAGGACUGCUUUUGUGUUCUCCCUUG